rnacentral:rRNA from 1 species
GACGAACGCUGGCGGCGUGCCUAAUACAUGCAAGUCGAACGCAAAACUUUCACCGAAUGCUUACAUUCACGAAAGUUUAGAGUGGCGAACGGGUGAGUAACACGUGGGUAACCUGCCCAGAAGAGGGGGAUAACACUUGGAAACGGGUGCUAAUACCGCAUAAUAACAAAGACCGCAUGGUUUUUGUUUGAAAGAUGGUUUUGCUAUCACUUCUGGAUGGACCCGCGGCGUAUUAGCUAGUUGGUAAGGUAAAGGCUUACCAAGGCAAUGAGACGUAGCCGAACUGAGAGGUUGAUCGGCCACAUUGGGACUGAGACACGGCCCAAACUCCUACGGGAGGCAGCAGUAGGGAAUCUUCCACAAUGGACGAAAGUCUGAUGGAGCAACGCCGCGUGAGUGAAGAAGGUUUUCGGAUCGUAAAACUCUGUUGUUAGAGAAGAACGUGUGUGAGAGUAACUGCUCAUGCAGUGACGGUAUCUAACCAGAAAGCCACGGCUAACUACGUGCCAGCCGCCGCAGUAA